rnacentral:rRNA from 1 species
UACGAAGGGGGCUAGCGUUGCUCGGAAUUACUGGGCGUAAAGGGCGCGUAGGCGGGUGUUUAAGUCAGAGGUCAAAUCCCAGAGCUCAACUCUGGAACUGCCUUUGAUACUGGACACCUAGAGUACGGGAGAGGUGUGCGGGAACUCCGAGUGUAGAGGUGAAAAUUCGUAGAUAUUCGGAAGAACACCAGUGGCGAAGGCGACACACUGGCCCGUUACUGACGCUGAGGCGCGAAAGCGUGGGGAGCAAACAGG